AUCGCUUCUCGGCCUUUUGGCAAAGAUUAUGUGUAAUAUCUGUUCUUUUCAGCUUAAUAUCUGAAACGCUACUCAUUGAGUAGCUUCGAAUAUUAAACUGAUUUUUUUUAACUUAAGCUAUGGAACAGGAGCUUGCUCCGUCCUAACCACGGGUUGACCUGGUAUUGCAGUACAUUCAGGACCAGCCCAUCCUCU